ACGUGGGUAACCUGCCUUAUAGUGGGGGAUAGCCUUUCGAAAGGAAGAUUAAUACCGCAUAAGAUUGUAGUAUCGCAUGAUAUAGCAAUUAAAGGAGCAAUUCGCUAUAAGAUGGACCCGCGUCGCAUUAGCUAGUUGGUGAGGUAAUGGCUCACCAAGGCGACGAUGCGUAGCCGGUCUGAGAGGAUGAACGGCCACAUUGGGACUGAGACACGGCCCAGACUCCUACGGGAGGCAGCAUG
rnacentral:rRNA from 1 species